rnacentral:rRNA from 1 species
GAUGAACGCUGGCGGCGUGCCUAAUACAUGCAAGUCGAGCGAACAGAUGAGGAGCUUGCUCCUCUGACGUUAGCGGCGGACGGGUGAGUAACACGUGGAUAACCUACCUAUAAGACUGGGAUAACUUCGGGAAACCGGAGCUAAUACCGGAUAAUAUAUUGAACCGCAUGGUUCAAUAGUGAAAGACGGUUUUGCUGCCACUUAUAGAUGGAUCCGCGCCGCAUUAGCUAGUUGGUAAGGUAACGGCUUACCAAGGCAACGAUGCGUAGCCGACCUGAGAGGGUGAUCGGCCACACUGGAACUGAGACACGGUCCAGACUCCUGCGGGAGGCAGCAGUAGGGAAUCUUCCGCAAUGGGCGAAAGCCUGACGGAGCAACGCCGCGUGAGUGAUGAAGGUCUUCGGAUCGUAAAACUCUGUUAUUAGGGAAGAACAAAUGUGUAAGUAACUAUGCACGUCUUGACGGUACCUAAUCAGAAAGCCACGGCUAACUACGUG